CAGCAGCCGCGGUAAUACGUAGGGUGCGAGCGUUGCCCGGAUUUAUUGGGCGUAAAGGGCGCGUAGGCGGUCACGCACGUCCGUUGUGAAAUCGCUCGGCUCAACUGGGCGGGGUCAGCGGAUACGGCGUGGCUGGAGCAAGCUAGGGGGCAAUGGAAUUCCCGGUGUAGUGGUGGAAUGCGUAGAUAUCGGGAGGAACACCAGUGGCGAAGGCGGUUGCCUGGAGCUUUGCUGACGCUGAUGCGCGAAAGCGUGGGGAGCGAUCCGGAUUAGAUACCCGGGUAGUCCACGCCGUAAACGAUGCGGACUAGGUGUCGGGGGUAUCGACCCCCUCGGCGCCGCAGCUAACGCAUUAAGUCCGCCGCCUGGGGACUACGGCCGCAAGGCUAAAACUCAAGGAAUUGACGG
rnacentral:rRNA from 1 species